rnacentral:misc_RNA from 1 species
CUUAUUGAUUCUAUUGCAGAUCUCAGUGUCUGAAGAGAGAUCUGAAAAUCCCUAAACAACUGCUUCCCGAAUCGUUGAUCCUGAGUGAAAGCAAGAACUAAAUGCUCGACAGAAACAAAUGAAUCCCGGUAGUCUUUCUUGUAUUCCCUAGCUCGCUGUAUCAAAGCCUCCAAGUCACGUCCUAACAUUGAACCAGCAGAUUCACCAAGAACCUUCGGUUGCCGUUGGAUAAACUUAUCAGUAGCUUCUAAAAGACGAGUAUUAUCAACCCCAGCUUUUGAAAAGAUCCGACGAGCAAGCCCAUUUUUCUGCUCCAAUAGAGCUUUCAUCAAAUGCUCUGUCUCCACUAUCUGAUGCUUGUUCUCUUUGGCUACAUCAGGAGAAGAAACAAUUCCUUGCCAUGCCAUUUCCGUAAAUUCUUGCUGAGUAAUCCUUCCAUUAGAGGCAUCACAUCUAACGACGAAGGACCUUCGAUUCCUCGAAAUCCUCUCAUAACCAAAGCCAGUCCUAUUCAACGAAAGACGCUUGAGAGAAUUCCGUUUUGCAGGGAAGCUUAAAGACUGCAAAAACAACGCGUUCCUAAUACUCUGAUGUGGAAACGGAGGACAAAGACUGAUUCCACUAAACGACGCCGUAGUUGUCGCAGCCAUUUCAGGAGCAGCGGGCAGAAGGAAGGAAUGCUUGACGAAAUCGAAAGACGAAUAAACACAAAAGAAAGCUAGGAGUUACAAGUAAUUAAAGAGAAAGGGAAAGGAUUUGGCGUGGGAAAGAAGGAAAUUAAAGAAAGAGAGGAAUUUGAAUUUUGAUGUUAAAGAGCAAGAAAUCAGAAUAAAGAGCUAGUGUUAUGGAGUGUUCGUGAAAGCUCGCUGCUUUGCUGGG